rnacentral:lncRNA from 1 species
AACAAAAUAAAUUAAUCGCACAUGAUAAGGAAAGCUGUUGAACCCAAUUGAAGGUUGAUCAAAAUAUGGACCUCUACACCCUUGAAACCGGCCCCCAACUAUCAUCUUCAAUGCCUCCAAAAGAUCUUCGAGGCCUUUCUCCACCCAAGACCCCUCCCCAUUCUUUCCGGGCAAGUAGAUAGGCUGAGCAUCUUCUCUUGAUUUAGCCCAUGUUGACUUGAGGUGAAGCCAUAAACAUGCUACAUCAAGAACUCUUGUAAGCUUAUCUUGUAAGAACUCUGAUAAGCUUAUUCAUCUACUUGGAUGCGCUGCAAACGGCAUCUUUUACAGACAGAGAACUUUGGAAGUCUCCAUC